rnacentral:rRNA from 1 species
UACGUAGGGCGCAAGCGUUGUCCGGAAUUAUUGGGCGUAAAGAGCUCGUAGGCGGCUUGUCGCGUCGGAUGUGAAAGCCCGGGGCUUAACUCCGGGUCUGCAUUCGAUACGGGCAGGCUAGAGUGUGGUAGGGGAGAUCGGAAUUCCUGGUGUAGCGGUGAAAUGCGCAGAUAUCAGGAGGAACACCGGUGGCGAAGGCGGAUCUCUGGGCCAUUACUGACGCUGAGGAGCGAAAGCGUGGGGAGCGAACAGG